AGGAAAAGAGAUAAGACUUUCUCUUUGGGAGGAAAGCGCGCUCUCACCGGGGUUCUGAGGACACGUCAUGCUAAUUGUUGGUGACUUUUAAAACUGCUCUUUGUGGUGCAAGAGACGAAAAAUUCCGUGUAGACUGAGGGCUUUCCAAAACGCUAAAUGCUUUCUUUUGCUUGGUAAGUUGUUUCUUCAUGUGUUUUAUUUCUGUGGCAGAUGUUAACCAAGGGACGUGAAAUUCCUGCCAGAGAACACGCUGCUUUUGGUGCUCACACGGCUGCUGGUGCUCACCUUUGACAGAAGCCAAGGCUCUGUGUUGGGACUUGGGCCACACCGGCUGUGGGGCUUGGGGUCCCUCAGAGCCCUGCUGCCUCCUCAGCCCCACUGCCUGUCAGCACUCCUGCUGCUUCCACGCCGCUGAGGCCUGGUGCUGGGAGUGUCACAGACGCUCUGUUUCACGUUUCCUCUGUUGCUUUGUUUGUCACCACGGAAUGUAUUUUUACUGAAGAUUUUUAGCAUUUUUAGCUUCCUUUUUUGAAGCUGUUUUUUUUUUCUUCUUCCAAACCAUCGCUCCUGUGUGAAAAACUGGCCUCCCUGAUUGUCUGCAGGCCCUGCUCCUCAGCCUUUUUUCCAGCUUUUGAUUGUCCCUUAAUUUUCUGCUACUGCUGGGGGGGCACACUGCAGCUUUGCUCCCUUCUUUCUUCCUGCACCAAUCUCUGGGUCAGGCCCGAAGACAUCUUGAGAACAGCAGCUCACAGAACUUGCUUUCAAGCAAUAACUUCUCCCCAGCCAUGCAGAGAUCUUUUACAUCUUGUUUUGGUAGGCUCUCACACUUCCCCCACUACCUCCCUGGUCUUUGGCUUUUACACAGUCAGUUGAUCUUUUCUUCCCCUUCCCUAAACCUUUCGUCUUGCCUGCUUCCUCAGAGGUGGCUGACAGCGUCAGUUCUUCCAGAGUUGAUGGUUUUUAAUGCAGGUGUCCUCUCUACAUUCUUGUGUGCAUAGUCCGGAAGACUGCAUGCUAGUAUGGCUGGCAGGUUUUCCUAUCAGAGCAAUGAGUACUUUGAUUCUCCUGCUAGAUAGACAAGACUUUGUGGAGGCUUCCCUCCAGCUUCCCAUACACGUUCUGCUGUCUGCUUCUGGGCUGUCCGGCUCACCAUUCUGGUUAACAGCUCUGACCACAUCACUGCUGGCACCCUCAUUCCCUCCCAAAACACAGUCUUCCCUCCUUGGCCCUUCCCAGACCUCCUCUUCCCUCAUCCCUGCCUUCUGCCUUACCACACUCACUCUCUCCUCCCUUCUGCUGGUCCACUAAAGCCAGAUUAUCUGCCCUCCCUCUCUCCCUGCUAGUUCAUCUCCUGUAAUGCCUUCACAUUUUUGGGGGGCCUAACGGCAGGCAUUGCAAACCUGGGUAUUUAUUUACUAGAUAUGCCCAUAUCCAUAAACUCCCAAAAAUUUCACCUCAUCCUUGGAUCUCCUGGUGGCUGAGACCCCCGCACUGAGGCAUUUCACACAUGUUUUUUUUGCAAGGUGACCUUUCAGAGUAGUGGCACUUGGUCUUGAGCAGGCGUCCACCUCAGUAGAUGACUUGGGUUGACACAAUCAGUGGGGAUUUUUUGCUCCUGAUAGGGGAAUUCCAAGCGCCAGCUGCAGCCCUGAGGUCUGUCAGGGAGGAAAGAGGUGAGAGGGAUGAGCUCCAGAGAUCUUUCUGCCUCGGGUGGGGAUGAAGAGAGGGAGCAGAAGUAGAACGUUUCCUAUAUGGACUCUUUGUUGAGGAAAUGGGCUGACAAACUUUCCUGCUCUGAGAGGCAGCCCUAAUAGUAAUAACAAGGACAAAGAAAAAUCUUGCUGCUAUUCACUGUAGAGAUGGGAUUAUCACUCAGGCUAAGUGCAGUGCCAACCUGAAGUAAGCCAGUACUUGCACAAUGUGUACAAACCACUUGGAUGUCCCCCUUCUGAAGACAUGUUCCCAGCAGGUGCUCAGGGUGUGGUUCCAUCCAGUGUGCUGCUUUUCCUGUUUCAGAACUGCGAAAGAACAUGUGCUUCAUGUGUUUACUUAGAGUAACCCACCCGGAGAUCAUUACUUUUGUUGUUAACAAACCUAUGCUUCAUUUGUUCAUAUACCAGAAAAUAAAAUAGCAUAAAUUAUUUGGAUGUAAUGUCUUAGUUUCAGCUGGAAUUGAAUUGUUUGAGUGUCUGGUAUGAUGCUAUGUUUUGAUUCUAGGAGGAAAACAGUGUUGAUAAUUCACUGAUGUUUAUAGCUGCUGCUAAGCAGUGUUAUACAGACCCAAGGCUGUUCUCAAUGAAGGGCCCAAGGAGCUGAAAGGAAACAGAAUUAAGACCGUUGAUUUAAACUGGCUGAAGAGAUAUUCUGUAUCAUAUUACAUCAAGUGGAAGGAGUUAUGAAGGGGGAGGAGUUCAUCUCUGGUCCCCACUGCUGCCUGGGGGGCUAGCUGGCCAAGGGUGGUGAGCAAUUGCUUGCCCAUCACUUGUUAUAUGCAUUCAUAUGUGUAUAUACAUAUAUAUAUAUAUACACACACACACAUACACACACAUUUAUAUGAUCUUUUUCCUUUUCUCUAUCUUAGUAAAUAGUUCUAGCUCAAUCCAUGAGUUCUACUUUGUUAGUGAUUCUCUCCUCUAUCUCACUGGGAAGAGUUGGAGUGAGCAAAUGGCUCAUGGUGGUGCUGAGCCACCUUCCAGGUUAAACCACAACACUUAGAUUUUCAGCAUCACUCUUCCAGAUAGGGGUUCUCCAGGAAUCCCAACUUUUUGCUAGAUAAAAUGAUCUCAGAAGAGAAAAACAGCUAACAGACCAAAUACAAAGAGGAAAUGCUAGCAGUGCAUUACAAUCAAAAGAAAAAAUGACAGAGCUGGUUGGUCCAUUGAUUUCUUCUGUACUGAUCAUAAAUUGUAAGUAAGCCGACUACUGUAGAGAUGCUAAACAAAGCAUGUAAGAUUAUUUAAAAUUUAGAAGACCUGUAAUAGCAAUGAGGAAAUGAACGCGACAGAAAGGAACCUUGAAAGGUCAGCAAGCAGAUUAAAUGUUGAAACAGUACAGACCAGUUCAUCUAACAAAACACUGACCAAGGCAUAAAGUGCAACAUGAGAAGUGGGAGCACAUUCCGGCAAACAAAUGACCCCGGUGUAUUUCCCAUGCAGAAAACCUACGAAGUGGCUGAUGUAGCUCAGUUGAUCAAAUGGCCCUGUACCUCAGGGCAAGCCUGCACAGCUAGCACAGGGGUAAAUCCUCACAGUACCUGCAGUCACUACUGCAUAUAGAAGAAAGACAACAGUGCAGAUUGCCUUCCGCUCUGUGUUUCAUAUUGCUCUCCCUUUCUCCUUCAGAUCACAAUUUUUUUAUUUAAAGCACAAUUUUUUUUACAGGGAUCAGAUUCAAAAUGAGAGAUAUUUUCAUGUGAUAACCCUGUAGAAAGAAAGUGGAGUUUCACUGCUGUGAACAGUUGUAGAAUGAAGGGAGUGUGUCCACAUUCCAUUUUAUUACCUGCUUCUUUGUUUUCCCUUCCCAGUGGGCACAGAGAGCGUUUGCUUUUACAUGUGUGCCCAAACAGAUUCAGGAUCUAUAGCUGAGGGAGAAUUUAAGCCCUUCAAAAUCACUGGAAGAACCUGCUGAGUUAAUUUUUAGCACAGUCAGUUUUGCAGUUUGGGGUUGGCUGGACUUCUGAUAUAUUGCUGGAGUUUCAUGGUUACUGGCAAAGUGACCAGAGAAGUAUUUCACAGAGUCAUCUAAAGGAGAAAAGAAAACAUCCUAACAGAAGACAUUCCAGCAGAUGACUUAACUUUUAAAAAUCCAUUUUGAAAUUUGUGUAUAUAACUCUACAUUGUACACAAAAUUGUAGCAGAAAACCCGCUUCUAAUUUCUCUUUUCCUACAUCAGUAAGUAUAUUGCCCAGUAAAGAUAUGUUCAAGUACAUUUUGUAAGAGAUAAUAUAAACCUAAGAGUAUAAGGAGUGACGAACACUUGUUCUCAAAAAAUGGUGUAACAGAUUUGAUGCUAAUUCGUAGUUCACUGUCUGACUAGUCCAUGUAAUGUCUCAUUUAAAGCCCUGUGAUGUUUUGCUAAUAGGAUUCUUUUCAUUGAGCUCUGUAUAAGUAUGUCUGUAUAACCUUGGUAUUAGUCACUUAAUUAACCAUUAAUUAAAUUAAUACAUAGUGUUUAAAAUCUGCAUCUUGCUAGUAUACAAUAGGACAGCUUUUGAAUAUAACAGCAACUUAUGUUGAAAUAUUUUCUUGUAUUUUUUAAGAGUGUGAGCACACUUCCUAGACUCAAAAUACUCAGACUUACUGGCUCCCACAGAAAAAAAAAAAAAAAAGAAUAAAAUUAUUCAAAUGGCAAAGCUGCAAAACUACAGUUCAAAGGGUGAAACUUUUCCAAAGUGAUCCAGUAAUAAUAAAUGUAAAUUUUGCAAUGACCACUUGGUGUCAUCUAGUCAGAGCUAGUUUGUUAGAUUCUUGUUCUAGGCUUGGUGUUAGUGUUAAGAAAAAGGCAUUUAAUCUUGAUUAUCUGAGAGCUCAUGGCCCAGUGUUAGCUCCUAUUCUCUGUAGGUGAGAUCCUCAGAGGCGGUAUUGCGCAGUCAUUGGAAGACCACCAACCUAACAAUUGCAGUCUCUCUUAGGAAGGCUGCUCUGGGUGCAGGCCAUAGUGUACUACUUGAGUCUUUUUUGCCCUGAUUGUACAGUUAUUUUGCUGCCAGCACCUGUGGUGAGCAGAAAAGGUGAUUACAUCUUGCUCAGUCUAUCUGAGGUCAAAACCUAGGGUUCAGUAAGUGGUAGACAGAACUAUCAGGUGGCAACAGAGGAACCCUUAGGAGCUCCUGUGAAAAUCUGGCGUCAGCUCAGAGCAGCUCCACUCACUCAGCUGCAUGAGCAGGCAACUACUUUGCCGGUUUGCCAGUGAGAGGAAAACGCUCAGCCCUUGAAUGAGACAAACAACUCCAGGUCUCCUGGGGGGAAGCACAUUUUUCAAGAACUCCUUGUGAGGUGAAACACUUGGAAUAUUUUUUCCUUUGUGAAGGGCCUCCUCUGUUCUGCUCCCCAGUCGGGCGACCCCGCAGAGAGUUACACCCAGCAAAUGGGUAAUUGCUUGGAACUUGGAACUGAGGCUUGGAAAAUCUUUUUGUGUUUAAAUCUGUACCUAAUCAAACGUCUACUCGCUCUGUGAGGAGAGAGCAUAGAGCAGAGCAGGAGAAUAUUUCACAUUGGUCGAAAUGAAAGAUAAGGUUUUGAUUUGAUGGCUUUGCUGACCACUUGCACUCGGUUUGCCAAGAGACUUGUGUAGGGAGAGGAUGUUUUUGUAAGGGUUUUAUUUGUUUCAUGUAUCAGUUUGUUGUAUUAAAUGUUUAUGAUGGUUACCUUUGCUGCUUAUAGACUAAAGAAUCUGAUUGUGUUUGGUGCUGUUUACCACAAAAAGUGUAAUACUGGGAGCGUAACGGGACUGUGAAAAAACAGAGGUAGAAAUAAGGACAAUUAGUAAAAUGCAACAAAUAUGUAGUUGGUUACUUACCAAAAAGAAAAUAGUCAUAGUUUGUCAGCACUGUGAUGAUCUAGUUAUCCAAAGAUCAGACUAUUGCAAAUUGAUGUUGACAAACUGGGGGGAAUUCACAUAAAAGAACUCAAACCACUGUUGGACUUUAAGGGCUGGUUUAUGGGAAAGAUUAAAACAGCUAGAUAAAGCCUGUCUGUCUAGGUACUUGCAUAACAGUAAUGAAUGUGAUGCAUUGUGCUGCGUGGUGAAGGACUUGGUGGAAGCUGAGGGAAUCCAGUGACCACUUACAAAGUUGUAGGCUGCAAGCACGAAGAAAAGAAAAAAAGUGGAUGAGGAUUGCUGAAGGAGCACAAGUGCUAAGAUGAAAAGGAGGAAAGCUCAUGCCAAACACUAGGAAAAAUUACCUCCUGUGAGAACUGUUAGUCUGUGGUCAGAAGUUAUACAAAACCCCUCAGUUGAGUCAUUUAAACUGAAUUGUAAAAAACACUCUAGAAAAUAUGCUGUAUUGGCACAGGGUGAGCUUAGAUCGGGAACAACCAGUCUACCCCCUGGUUUCCUUUUUCCCAAGGGCCAUUUACAGCUAGCAUGGUAGAUAUUAUUUGACUUAGCAAGAAGCAGAAUGCAUAUGGCUGGAGGCAAAGAAGGAAAAUUCAAUGCAUGGAUUUUGUGCAUGGUGAGAGCUCAAUGGCUUCUCUGUGCAGAUGCAGUAGCCCCACGGGCAUGACAUGUGGCACAGACAGGCAGGAACUAAGCUUGAUACAAGUUUUUUAUCAACUCUGAUCUGAUCUGCCCUACAUCACUGUUCAUUCUGUGUGAAGAGGAUUUGCUAGAAGACACAAUGAAGACAGAGGGCUGUCCAGUCACGCCUGUUGAUCCCGUGUUCACGUUUCAUGGUCAAUUGUGUCUGUGCAAGGGAAGAGACAGGCAGCAGGCUCGCCAAGACAUGGCCCCUCACUGCUCUGAUGUGCAUCACCUCUCUCUCCUGCCUCCACAGGUUUCCCACAUUUUUGGCCAAGGAGAAAAACAGUUGAGACUGUGACUGUGAGCAUGUUUCCUUCCUGUCUUGUGUUGGUAAGGCAGGAGUUACAGGGAUUUGGGGGGAAGCACUACAGCAGCUGGAGAGUCUGGGAAAAAAAGAAGCAUUGCUCUGUUGAGAGCCUCAGGACAAAGGUGCAAAGUGAAAAAAUUAUCUGGUGUGUAGAAAAUGCUAAGUCUGCUUACUCACCCUGCUGAGGUCAGGGUCUUGGUGGUGCUCAUCAUGCACACUCCAUUGCUCCUGUUUGCUUCUCCAGGAGACUGCUCCCUGUGGCUUUACCCCAGCACGGUCACCACAGCAUUGACCUGGCCAAGGAAAUUUAAGAACAGUUUCUAUAAUAAAUGCCAUCUUUAUUUUGAGGGAAAAUGUUAUUAAGCCUCAAUCCUCAAUCCAUAUUUGCUGGAGAAUUUUAUUUUUCAUUUCAUUUACAAAGGCCACCUCAGAGUAUGCUUUGAAGGGAAUGAGCAUGGGUACUUAUUUCCCGAUAGUACUUAUUGCUCCAUCACAGCAAAAUGACCCCAAAGGCAUAAAUAAUUAAUUGUUUAAGCACUUCGUGGGUUUCAGUGUGUUUUUUAUUCACAGUACUCCUUUGAGCUGCAGAAAUGCUUUAUCUGAUUAAAGAUGUUAUUUGUAUUGUUCUGAUGGGCAUGGAAUGGGCUAAGCCUGGUCUGAAGUGAAAAGUGGAAGGACUGAAGCUGUCCUGCUGAGAGAAAGCGGAGAAGGAGAGGAUAAACCUGAGGAAGAGAGAUAGGGGAGAGUUGUGCCUUCUGCUCAUGCUAGUGGGUGCUCACCUGGUGAAAAAAGGGAGGACCAGCAGCAACUGGUCAAGUAAGAUCAGGCGGCAAACCCGGCUUCUCAAGCCUGUGCCACCAGUGGAGCAGAAGCAGACCACAGGGCUGCUGUUGACAACUGUUGACAUCCAAUCCCAGCCCUGUGCUAAGCCAGACCUUUGAAAAAAUAGCCAGACUUAUCUCUUUCUUUCAAAAUCUACCUAGGGAUGCACUGUUUGUUUAUUACAUGCCUCAAAAAUGUGAUGGAUGUGAACAGAUUCUGUUGAAUUUAUGGUCUUUUGGGAUGACAAUAAGAAAAAGAAAAAAAAAAAAGUGCACCUGCAGUUUCUUAUCUUCAUACUCUUUUUGUGGAAAGUAUCCUGCACAAAACCUGCUGCCAGCCCAUGACGUUCUGAUGUGGAGACAAAAAGAUUUUUGGAUUAAUGACAUACAACCUCAUGCCCAGUGAAUGCAACCAGCCUUCCCCAGCAGGGGAAGCCAGACUCAGCUGGAGACUUUCUACUCAUAUGAGUGUGUGGGUUGCAAAACAGCAGGAUGCUCUUCAAAGGAUGUCCUCCAAAAGUGCCUUUGGUCUCCAUACCUGAAGCAUGUUAAAUUUUGGCUAAAUUGCAAAGCAUCUUCCUUUCUUUGUCAAUCUUAAAGUCCUGGUAGCAGAAAGUGGACUUGGCUCCUUUUAAACUGCAGUGGGGUGUAUAAUCUGCUUGAUAAAGCAUCCUUAGCAGAAUAAGAUAGGUAAUCUUUUCUGGAGGAAAAAUGGAGUAAAAGCUCCAGUGAAUAAAUACAAGAUUGUUUUCAACACUCUCCUCCUGGACUCCUGCUGUUGAGUGACUGCAAAAUUCAGAGAGAUUAUUUUGGCAGUUCCAAAAAUCUGUCACACAGAUCGGAGUUUUUUUUUCCCUUGCAUUUGUCAAUGUGUGACUAAGCACAAGUAUUACAGGAAGCAUGGAAAUGUUUGGGCUUUAAAGAAUGGUUGUGGAAAAAGACCUCCUACUGGUUUAACAACUGCUGUUUAAUAAAAUAAUUUUCGGAUGUCCAAAUUGCUGAUUGUUCCGCUGAGGGUUACGUUGUGACCAGAAGGGAUCCCACCAGUCCCAUGUCAUCAGCCUGGGCACUUUGUGAAGUUUUCUGCAGCCAUUUCCUGCUUCAAAACAAUGAAGGAUGAGAGAUGCUCAUCGUUACUCCCUAUGGUGCAGGGAUGUGUUCAUCUCAGUCUCUAGGACGGCAUCAAAAUCUGAGGAGAAGAAGUCAAAACAGUUUCACUGAGGCAGCCAGCAGAUGCCAGGAAGUGUUGCUUAUUGACAUUAAUCAUUACUCUGUUGAUAGCCCUGGGCGUGCUGCUGUAAUUGACCAGAACCAAAUCCAGUAAUCAUAUCAUGGAAAAUAUACAUCACAUUUAUUUCACAUCUGAAUUACAGUAAUAUGAAUUCAUGGCAAAAUUCUCAGUGACUACGUCAGAAGCAGGAGGAGAGCCUUUGUCUGCUAGCACAGAUGUAACUAAGCUGUUAAGCACAGUCUGAUGUGCUUAGGCAGGAGGCUGAGGCUACAUCAAGAAGUUAUCUUGGAUAGGAUCUUGUAGCCUAAAUCCUAUUCAGAUGAAUAUAGAUAAGUCUCUGUAGUUUGUAGUGUUUGUAGAACUGUGUUUUCCAAUUGUGUUUUCUGUUGUUUUCUUUGAGCAUUACCCUUCAAUAGAUGGGGCUGCUACAAUCUCUUCAAAGAAUAUAAAUACUCUAUUAAGAAUGUGUAAAAAGGCCUUCCAAUAAGACAGUUGAAGAAGCAUUUCUUUUUACAAAAUUAUCUACAGAAAAUGAUGAGAACAAACAAACAACAGCUGAACAGUAAAGCAUCAAGAAGAAACACAUCUGAGGUUUAAUUUGAUCACUUUAUGCCUGGGAAACAGAAUGAGGAGUUAGUUAUUGAGCAAUAUUUGUAUCACAUUGACUAUUGUGUUAAUGAAUUCAAUUUUUAUUAAAUAGCAUCAACAUGUUAGAUAUUACACUGGAAAGAAAUGAAGAUCAGUAGUUAGCCAAAGUAGUCAACUGAUGUUCUUUCUAUGGUGAACGCAAAAUCUAUGUUGCUUGUUCAACAAAACAGUUCUUAAAGAGACGAGGCUUGAGAAUACCUUAAGUUGCCAUGAACAGCAGGGUCCAGGGGGAACAGAAAAGAUUUGAUGUCAAAACUUGACUGCAGAUAUUCCUUUUGACCAGUUCUUAGUAUCUUCCCUUACUUAGCUUACUUACUAAGGAAGACAGCUUCUUCAUAAUGAUAAGGAAACAGAGAGGCUGGUGCACGCAGCUGCCUUACCUUCACAAAUUCACUUUGGAGAUCUUUAAAAUUUUCUGUUUCUUUCAUGUUUUCAUCUUUCUUUUUAGUCAUUGUAGUACUUUUAAAUACUGUGGUAUUUAAAAGCUAAACAAAACCCAGAGUGUAGCCUUUUUGUUUCAGUUCUCCAGUGACAGAAAUAUUGCAGUCAACCAAAACUUCAAAAGCUACAAAUUUAAGUUGACUGCUGCCUCUUAUCCAGCCGCAUACUACUUCAGUUUGGGAAGCAUAUGCAUUUUAACAGUGAUUCUCAGUUUUCAAACCUAAUUAUUAGUAGCCAGAGAGAAAUGGUUGAGACAUUUCUGUUUUUCUCUAACUUGAUCCACAUGGGAUCUCCUUUGAAAAACUUGUUGCUGUAAAUUAAGCAAAUCCUUAGGUGAUUUGUUGUCUUAAAACUUCUGAGCCCAGGUUGAAUGUGCUGUACAAUCAUAUUAUUUCCUUGUUGAAAACUGUACACCUUUGGUAAUGAAAUCAGAACACAAUGAAGUUGGAAUCCAUCCUACUGUGACUUUAUCCACAACUUUCUGCUCUAUAUAGACAUGCACUUAAAAGAACUGGUGAAAAAUUCACAGUCCUGCUGCUUUCCCUGCAUCCACCCAUUCCUAGGAAAUGGCUGUCAGGUCAGUUAGUUAUGUCCCAAGAGGAAAAACUUUAAAACCAGAGCUAUCAAGGUUGAAUUUCAUAUUGCUGUACCUCCAGAAAGGUUUGAGUUACAUUAAUGAUGAUUUUGUGGUUGAAUUUCUUGGCCAGGGUGGUAAGUGAAGGACUUCCUGGUAAUGAGAUGCUCACCUAACUGGCUGGAUGUCCAAAUUUUCCUCUUAGUAUUCAGCAAAUCUGUAGGCUGCUUAAAAUUCACCUUUUUCCAUGUAUAUUCUUGGCCCCAGCUGCUUUUCCAAGUGCCAAAACUUUGCUAGGAAAAAAUGAAGACCCAUAAGAAUGCAUACUCUGAUUUUACUUUAUGGAAGAGAAAUCUUUUUCUAUGCUGGCAUUAAACUCCUGAAGGUGAACAAAGAGGGAGACAUGCCUAGAAAUGCACAAAGAAGCUGGGUUAAUUAAGAGAGCUCCCACUGCCCUCCUUCAUGAAAGCUGUUAUGCUUUUGAAACCCUGGAGAUGGUUUCACUGUGAAUUUGUGAGGUUAGGAAUACAGCUGGGAUGCUGAGACUGUGGGCUGGGUGGUAUGUAUAGAAUGUGUUUGAUCAGUUUCCCCAGUUGUAUUAGAAAGAGAUGGCAUAAAAGAAACAGGGUGGAAAUAAGCAGAAAGGAUGAGCAGCUCCCUCUGGGAUAAGUCUGAACUGAUUUAGAUUGCGGGAAAUCACUUUUUAUGUUGAAUGUAUUUUCUUAGAGAUUUCAGUGGGGAGAUUUUUUUUUUCUGGUCUGUAUCAAAAUCACAGAAAAUAUUUGUUAGCCUUCAGAAGCACAUGACUCAAACUUUGCCAUUCAUUUUGCCAGACGUUAGCAAAGCAAGCUAAGGCCCAAAUUUCUGUGUAUACUUUCUUUCAAAUAAUGUACCAAUCUCAUCUCACCCUCAUUAUUUUACACAAUUAACGUUAGUCAGUUUUCAGUGAUUUUCACUGUUCAAAAAAAUACUUUUCUUGCCUGAAACACACCUACUGUGGGUGUACUUGAACACUACUAUCACUGGUCUAAAUACAUGUAAUUGCAGCAUGUUGGACAAACAACAUGGGUGAUGGAAAACAUGGUGCUUCUCUUUAUAAGUCAUUGAAGUUGAACAAUGAAUCUUCAUCGCACCCUGUUAAGCUUACCAAAAUUAAGGUUGUCCAGGAGAUCGUAACACUUUCAUAAAAAGGAGGUACUUACAGCACUGUAAGUUGUAUUUGGAGGCAAAAGCACCUUCAGCUCUCAGUGAGUAUAAAGAAUGGUGCUGACAUGCAUCAGAACGCGUUGUGUCUCCUCUUCCCUGGUGAGCUGGGCUCUGAUCAUCUGAUUCCUGUACCAGCAAGGAGGGAUUUCCUUUGAUGACAGGACCAUGGAUAAACAUGGCAGAAAGUAAAGAGCAUUAAUGAUAACAGAUGUUGUAGUGUUUUGCUGUGUUUACAAGACUCCUCUGUACUUUGUGUAUAAUAUGAAUUAUAUAUAAAUGAUUGAUUCUCAUUUAAUUAAUAUAAGAUGAAAUGGGCAGCUCAGAGCUUCCUAAAGAUGCAAAUAAAGAACUCAGUGUCUGUUUGAGAAACUCUGUGAUUGGACUUGACAGCAGUCAUUAAAAAAUGGUCCUUAAUUAAAUGGGCACCUUUAACUUUUUUCUUGCAAACCACUACUCAGCUCUCUUUCCUUCCUAUGUAAAUAUGGGGGCUGCACUGAGAUUAUAGUGGGAAAACAAUACCAAUUAAGAAAAGUUAAGGUGUCAGAAUUAAAGGGAAAAUAGUUUUAAAGUUUGUUUGAUUGUUAAAUGCAAUCAUUAUGUGCAAGAGAUGUCGCACUCACAGGUUCUCAUCCUAGUGUGGUAUUUCAACCACUCAGAUAUCCUGGGAAAACAACAUGAUGAGCUGUAAGCAGUCCAGGAGCCUCCUGGAGUCCAUUGACAACAACUUGCUGGUGCAGGUAUUGGACAGACCCACCAGAAGUGAAGUAUUACUCUGUUCACCAACAUGGAGGAGAUGACAAA